UACAGAGGGGGCAAGCGUUGUCCGGACUCACUGGGCGUAAAGCGCACGUAGGCGGUGAGCUGCGUCGGUGCUGAAAGCGCCCCGCUUAACGGGGUGAGGCGUGCCGAUACGAGUUCGCUAGAGGCAGGCAGAGGGUGGCGGAAUUCCGGGUGUAGUGGUGAAAUGCGUAGAGAUCCGGAGGAACGCCUGUGGCGCAAGCGGCCACCUGGGCCUGACCUGACGCUGAGGUGCGAAAGCGUGGGGAGCGAACCGG
rnacentral:rRNA from 1 species